CAACUUUCAGCAACGGAUCUCUUGGCUCUCGCAUCGAUGAAGAACGCAGCGAAAUGCGAUAAGUAAUGUGAAUUGCAGAAUUCAGUGAAUCAUCGAAUCUUUGAACGCACCUUGCACUCCUUGGUAUUCCGAGGAGUAUGCCUGUUUGAGUGUCAUG
rnacentral:rRNA from 1 species